rnacentral:rRNA from 1 species
UACGUAGGGUGCAAGCGUUGUCCGGAAUUAUUGGGCGUAAAGAGCUCGUAGGCGGUUUGUCGCGUCUGCUGUGAAAACCCGAGGCUCAACCUCGGGCCUGCAGUGGGUACGGGCAGACUAGAGUGCGGUAGGGGAGAUUGGAAUUCCUGGUGUAGCGGUGGAAUGCGCAGAUAUCAGGAGGAACACCGAUGGCGAAGGCAGAUCUCUGGGCCGUAACUGACGCUGAGGAGCGAAAGCAUGGGUAGCGAACAGG